rnacentral:rRNA from 1 species
CGACGUGAGGAACCUGCCUCAAAGAGGGGGACAACAGUUGGAAACGACUGCUAAUACCGCAUAAGCCCACAGCUCGGCAUCGAGCAGAGGGAAAAGGAGUGAUCCGCUUUGAGAUGGCCUCGCGUCCGAUUAGCUAGUUGGUGAGGUAAUGGCCCACCAAGGCGACGAUCAGUAGCCGACCUGAGAGGGUGAUCGGCCACAUUGGAACUGAGACACGGUCCAA